rnacentral:rRNA from 1 species
UACGAGAGGCCCAAGCGUUAUUCGGAAUUACUGGGCUUAAAGAGUUCGUAGGCGGCGCCGAAAGUAGGGUGUGAAAGCCCUCGGCUCAACCGAGGAAUUGCGCUCUAAACUGCUGUGCUUGAGGGACCUAGAGGUGAGCAGAACUGAUGGUGGAGCGGUGAAAUGCGUUGAUAUCAUCAGGAAUACCGGAGGCGAAGGCGGCUCACUGGGGGUCUGCUGACGCUGAGGAACGAAAGCCAGGGGAGCGAACGGG